CGCUGGCGGCKUGCCUAACACAUGYWAGUCGAACGGAUUUGAGGGGCUUGCUCCUCAAGUUAGUGGCGCACGGGUGAGUAACGCGUASAUAAUCUGCCCGAUGAUCCGGGAUAACACUUCGAAAGGGGUGCUAAUACCGAAUAAGCCCACGGGGUCUUUGGAUUCUGCGGGAAAAGGGGGGGACCUUCKGGCCUUCUGWCAUCAGAUGAGUCUGCGUACCAUUAGUUAGUUGGUKGGGWAAUGGCCUACCAWGGCUACGAYGGUUAGCUGGUUUGAGAGAAUGAUCAGCCACACUGGAACUGAGACACSKUCCAGACUCCUACKGGAG
rnacentral:rRNA from 1 species